UCGAGGAAAAUAACGAAGUCUUCAAGUA
rnacentral:piRNA from 1 species